rnacentral:rRNA from 1 species
AACUUAAAGGAAUUGGACGGGGCCCGCACAAGCGGUGGAGCAUGUGGUUUAAUUCGAUGAUACGCGAGGAACCUUACCUGGGCUCAAAUGUAUGUUGACGUAUUCUGAAAGGGAUACUUCUUCGGACAAUAUACAAGGUGCUGCAUGGUUGUCGUCAGCUCGUGCCGUGAGGUGUCGGGUUAAGUCCCGCAACGAGCGCAACCCUUGCCUUUAGUUGCCAGCAGUUCGGCUGGGCACUCUAAAGGGACUGCCGGUGUUAAACCGGAGGAAGGUGGGGAUGACGUCAAGUCCUCAUGGCCUUUAUGACCAGGGCUACACACGUACUACAAUGGCCGAUACAAAGGGCAGCGACACUGCGAGGUGAAGCCAAUCCCGUAAAAUCGGUCUCAGUCCGGAUUGGAGUCCGCAACUCGACUCCAUGAAGUUGGAAUCGCUAGUAAUCGUGGAUCAGCAUGCCACGGUGAAUACGUUCCCGGGCCUU